rnacentral:rRNA from 1 species
UACGUAGGGUGCAAGUCGUUAAUCGGAAUUACUGGGCGUAAAGCGUGCGCAGGCGGUGAUGUAAGACAGAUGUGAAAUCCCCGGGCUCAACCUGGGAACUGCAUUUGUGACUGCAUCGCUGGAGUACGGCAGAGGGGGAUGGAAUUCCGCGUGUAGCAGUGAAAUCGUAGAUAUUGGACGAAGACACCGAUGGCGAAGGCAG